CCUACGUGGUGCAGCAGUGAGGAAUAUUGGUCAAUGGGCGCGAGCCUGAACCAUCCAAGUAGCGUGAAGGAUGACUGCCCUGCGGGUUGUAACCUUCUUUUAUAAAGGAAUAAAGUGAGGCACGUUUGCCUUUUUGUAUGUACUUUAUGAAUAAGGAUCGGCUAACUCCGUUCCAGCAGCCGCGGUAAUACGGAGGAUCCGAGCGUUAUCCGGAUUUACUGGGUUUAAAGGGAGCGUAGAUGGGUUGUUAAGUCAGUUGUGAAAGUUUGCGGCUCAAACGUAAAAUUGCAAUUGAUACUGGCAGUCUGGAGUAAAGUUGAGGGAGGCGGAAUGCGUGGUGUAGCGGUGAAAUGCUUAGAUAUCACGAAGAACUCCGAUUGCGAAGGCAGCUUACUAAACUGCCACUGACAUUGAUGCUCGAAAGUGUGGGUAUCAAACAGGAUUAGAUACCCUUGUAGUC
rnacentral:rRNA from 1 species